rnacentral:rRNA from 1 species
GACGAACGCUGGCGGCGUGCCUAAUACAUGCAAGUAGAACGCACAGUUUAUACCGUAGCUUGCUACACCAUAAACUGUGAGUUGCGAACGGGUGAGUAACGCGUAGGUAACCUGCCUGGUAGCGGGGGAUAACUAUUGGAAACGAUAGCUAAUACCGCAUAAUAUUGAUUAUUGCAUGAUAAUUGAUUGAAAGAUGCUAUUGCAUCACUACCAGAUGGACCUGCGUUGUAUUAGCUAGUAGGUGAGGUAACGGCUCACCUAGGCGACGAUACAUAGCCGACCUGAGAGGGUGAUCGGCCACACUGGGACUGAGACACGGCCCAGACUCCUACGGGAGGCAGCAGUAGGGAAUCUUCGGCAAUGGACGAAAGUCUGACCGAGCAACGCCGCGUGAGUGAAGAAGGUUUUCGGAUCGUAAAGCUCUGUUGUAAGAGAAGAACGGGUGUGAGUGUGGAAAGUUCACACUGUGACGGUAUCUUACCAGAAAGGGACGGCUAACUACGUG